AUAAUUUAGAGUUUACUAUUUAUUUGAGGAAAAGGUUUAUUGGGUUAAAUUAUGUGAGAUAUUUUGUUGUGGUGAUAGUGGAAAGUACUGUGAAGGAAGAGUGAAAAAAUGAAAAUGAAUUUAUUUAAAAGUAGAUUUUUUGUACCUUUUGUAUUAGGGUUUUACUAAAAAGUUUAAAAUUUCAAACUUCCCGAAAUUCGUUGAGCUAUUUAUUAUUAAGAUAGUAAUUUCAGAUACUUUUAGUAAUAUUAAUAGAAAUGAAAUUUUAAUCGAAAUUGAGGAUAUCUGGUUAAGAAAAUAAAAUUAUACAUUUUUCCAUGAAUUUAAUUAAAUUUGCUUGGUUAUGGGUUUAACUUUUAGGGAUAAGCUUGAAAGUGUAUCUUACAAUAUUUUUUAAAAAUUAAAGAGGUUUAUAAUUUACUUGUUUUGUGAUAAAAAAUUUUUUAAAAAGUUCUUGUAGAUUUUUUUAUGAUUUAAGUAAUUAAUGAUUGAAGGAGAGGAUGUUAAAAUUAGUAUAAUUUCUUUUUUUGAAGUUGUUAAAGUAAAAAUGGAUAAGUGUUAAAAGGGGUAUGAAUUCGGCAAAUGAAAUUUAUGAAUGUUUAUCAAAAACAUUGUAUCUUGUUGGGAUAAGAUAUAAAACCUGCUCAAUGUAUUAUAAAUUGCUGUGGUAUUGUGACUAUACAAAGGUAUUGUAAUAAGGCUUUAAUUGGGUGCUAAGAGAAUGGUUUUUCAUAGAGUAGCUUUAUUCUGUUUUAUAUUAGAAGUUAGUAUAAAGAUGAAAAAAUCUUUAUGAAAUUCUGGGACAAGAAGACCCUAUGAAUUUGUUUAAAAUAAUAAUAAAAAUGAAAUUUAUUAUUUUAGUUGGUUGGGGCGAUUUUUUAAGAUUCUGAAUCUUAAAAAAAUUUAAUAGAUCCACUAUUAGUGAGGAUUUGAAUAAAAUACUCUAGGGAUAACAGCGUAAUAAUUUUGGAUAGUUCAUAUAGAUAAAAUAGUUUGCGACCUCGAUGUUGGAUUAAGAUUCUAGUAUAAUGCAGAAGUUAUAAGAGGAAGUUUGCUCAACUUUUAAAUUCUUACAUGAUCUGAGUUCAGACCGGCGUGAGUCAGGUCGGUUUCUAUCUAGAUAGAUAUUAAAAUUUUUAUAGUACGAAAGGAAUUAAGGAUUGGAAGUUUUUCACAAAUUUUAAGC
rnacentral:rRNA from 1 species